rnacentral:rRNA from 1 species
UACAGAGGUCUCAAGCGUUACUCGGAAUUACUGGGCGUAAAGCGUGCGUAGGUGGUGAGUUAAGUCUGUCGUGAAAGCCCCGGGCUCAACCUGGGAAUGGCGAUGGAUACUGGCUCGCUAGAGUACGGUAGAGGGUGGUGGAAUUCCCGGUGUAGCAGUGAAAUGCGUAGAGAUCGGGAGGAACAUCAGUUGCGAAGGCGGCCACCUGGACCAGCACUGACACUGAGGCACGAAAGCGUGGGGAGCAAACAGG